CGUAAACAUUUUUAUUGCAUUAUUUUUAAAGAAAUAAUCUCACUAAUAUAAUGCACUAAAUUACAAAACAAGAGAAAAGAAUCAAAUCAGGUUUCACUGCAUCAUGCAAAAAAUAAACAUAACCACAUUAAAAUAGAAUAAAAAAUGUUGAAUUUCCAAGACAAAUAACUAUAUGGUGAAAUAUUGUGGUCCUACCACCCACCUCUAAGCGUCUGAUUCCUCUCACCUGCCCUACAGGUAUCUGAAGUACUUUGCGACUAAGACGAGUCCGACCGGAGUGAUUCUGGACCUGUGGGAAGCUCAACACUUCCCACACGGAAACCUCAACCAGCUCGCCACUGUCCUGGAGGAGAUGGGUCGUCAUGACAACAGCAUCGCCGCCAUGGCCAAGGAACAGUGACCCUCACUUUGGCGGUAAUAACGCUGCUAACGAUGACGUCCAGCUCAAGUUGUGUUGCCACACGAUCAAAACAACGAUCAAAAACCAAGACACCGUGUGCAGCACUGCUGUCCAUGUACGUGGAUUCCGCCGAUUUGGGGUCAAAGGUGAAGCAGGAACAGGGUCGAGACACUUCAGUUUCACUGCCUGCAGCCGCUGCCACCCCACCAACACGAAAAAGCCUCCAACCAACUGCCAUUUCCCACAAUCCAAAUGAGAGGCUCUGUGCGGAAAAUAAAAGCCAAAUGAACAAGCAAAACAAGACAACAGAAAAGCCCUUCUGUAAGCUUGACGAGCAGCAGUGCAUUGAGUGUUUCUGUCUGGUGUUAAUGCUGUGCCAACUAUGCAAUGUUUGCUUCUAUACAGGACAAUGUGCAUCGUUAUGACUCGCGUGUACAGAGAGAAUUUAAUACACAGAAUAAAGCUUCAUUAAAAAUCAAAAACAAAAAACGCUAUGUCUGCGGCCAGUUUCUGUAUAAAAUGUAUGUAAAGGAUUUUUUAAAAUAAAUUCUAUUUUUAAUCAGCGCUGACAGUGGCCUUCUGUUGUUGUUGUUUUAUUAUUUGAC
rnacentral:lncRNA from 1 species